GACGAACGCUGGCGGCGUGCUUAACACAUGCCAGUCGAGCGAGGCCCCUCCUUCGGGAGGGUGUCCUAGCGGCGAACGGGUGAGUAACACGUGGGCAACCUGCCCUCAGCUCUGGGAUAACUCCGGGAAACCGGGGCUAAUACCGGAUACGACCUCCACGGGCAUCUGCGGAGGUGGAAAGUUUUUCGGCUGAGGAUGGGCCCGCGGCCUAUCAGCUAGUUGGUGGGGUAGUGGCCCACCAAGGCGACGACGGGUAGCCGGCCUGAGAGGGCGACCGGCCACACUGGGACUGAGACACGGCCCAGACUCCUACGGGAGGCAGCAGUGGGGAAUAUUGCGCAAUGGGCGAAAGCCUGACGCAGCGACGCCGCGUGAGGGAAGAAGGCCUUCGGGUUGUAAACCUCUUUCAGCAGGGACGAAGCGAAAGUGACGGUACCUGCAGAAGAAGCACCGGCCAACUACGUG
rnacentral:rRNA from 1 species